rnacentral:rRNA from 1 species
CACGUAGGGGGCGAGCGUUGUCCGGAUUUAUUGGGCGUAAAGAGCUCGUAGGCGGCUCAGUUAGUCGGGUGUGAAACCCCCGGGCUCAACCCGGGGACGCCACCCGAUACUGCUGUGGCUAGAGUCCGGUAGGGGAGCGUGGAAUUCCUGGUGUAGCGGUGAAAUGCGCAGAUAUCAGGAGGAACACCAGCGGCGAAGGCGGCGCUCUGGGCCGGAACUGACGCUGAGGAGCGAAAGCUAGGGGAGCGAACAGG